AUGGCAGAACAACCAAAUCUAAGCACUUUGCACGACGCUACCAGCUUCUAUAAUACGCAAGAAUAUUGGCUCAUGCAGCAACCGAAACAACAGAGAAAAUUGAAUGCACAACGGAUCUUUUCCUAUCCAACAAUUCCUCCAAAAGUCGAUAUCCGCUCCAUUACCAACCUUACAAGAAAUACUCAUACCAAACCAAUUAUUUUCAGCCCCUCGCACAUUCAACAACAAAAGCAAAUCCCUCCACCACAACGAAUGGUUAGACUUAACAAAGGGACGAGAAUUAUCGCGAAUGUCAUUCUUAAUAUACCCCUACUUGAAAGAAAGAACUCUAUGCCAUAA